CACGUAGGGCGCAAGCGUUGUCCGGAAUUAUUGGGCGUAAAGAGCUCGUAGGCGGUCUGUUGCGUCCGCUGUGAAAACUCGGGGCUUAACCCCCGAGCCUGCAGUGGAUACGGGCAGACUAGAGGUAGGUAGGGGGAGAAUGGAAUUCCCGGUGUAGCGGUGAAAUGCGCAGAUAUCGGGAGGAACACCGGUGGCGAAGGCGGGACUCUGGGCCGAUACUGACGCUGAGGAGCGAAAGCGUGGGGAGCAAACAGG
rnacentral:rRNA from 1 species